CGCUGUGUCUUCCUUACCUCUCUCAUUGCCAACAGCUGCCAGGUGAAGGCUGCCAAUCACCUGAGCCUGGGAGGAAACUCAGUGUACCCUACAUGGCAUUCCAGGCUCUGCACAGGCAGUCCUAAAUACCUGGCAGAUAUUUCCUCCUCGUCUCAACCUCUCAGAAUCCCUAGCUUCCUUAAAGUCCUGGCUGUGGUGGAACCUGGGACUGGCUGCCUUUCCCUGAAGUCUUUCGAUGGGAAUGCUACCUGGCACUUAUUUAUCUGGAAAAACUGGAAUAGAGAGAAGUUAAAUGAUUUGCUGAAGACCAAAUAUGACAUCAGUUUGUUGCAGUGGAACAAGAAAAUAUUACUGACCGCAGAUCCAUACCUACUUUCCAAUCUCCAUAAAAAGACUGAGACUAAUCUCCAGAAGCACCAUGGACACCCUCAGUGAAGGUUAUGAGGAAGGAACAGGAAGGCUUUUGCAAACACUACUCUGCAGAUGUUUAGUCACAUGACUGAUUAAAGUCUUUUAAGAAUACAAGAUCCCAUUGUGCUUGUUCUCCAUUGACUGUUUAAAUCAAGCAUUUGAUUCAAUAAAGCAGACUUUCUUGAAGGCCCUGCUCCA
rnacentral:lncRNA from 1 species